rnacentral:rRNA from 1 species
UACGUAGGUGGCAAGCGUUGUCCGGAAUUAUUGGGCGUAAAGCGCGCGCAGGCGGUCCUUUAAGUCUGAUGUGAAAGCCCACGGCUCAACCGUGGAGGGUCAUUGGAAACUGGGGGACUUGAGUACAGAAGAGGAAAGCGGAAUUUCCACGUGUAGCGGUGAAAUGCGUAGAGAUGUGGAGGAACACCAGUGGCGAAGGCGGCUUCUGGUCUGUAACUGACGCUGAGGCGCGAAAGCGUGGGAGCAAACAGG